AUUCUCACGUGGCAGGAAGAGUACCAUGAUCAAGAAGGUGGUCUCCCCAGGGUGACGCUCAACCCGUUGCAUUUUGGGUGUGCUGACCCCUGAGGUUUCCCCAAAUGUGGGAAGCUCAGUUGCAUAAUUUGUGGUAGUAGGGGGCUGCAUCCAUGCUCUUCCCUG